GACGAACGCUGGCGGCGUGCUUAACACAUGCAAGUCGAACGGAAAGGCCCUGCUUUUGUGGGGUGCUCGAGUGGCGAACGGGUGAGUAACACGUGAGUAACCUGCCCUUGACUUUGGGAUAACUUCAGGAAACUGGGGCUAAUACCGGAUAGGAGCUCCUGCUGCAUGGUGGGGGUUGGAAAGUUUCGGCGGUUGGGGAUGGACUCGCGGCUUAUCAGCUUGUUGGUGGGGUAGUGGCUUACCAAGGCUUUGACGGGUAGCCGGCCUGAGAGGGGGACCGGCCACAUUGGGACUGAGAUACGGCCCAGACUCCUACGGGAGGCAGCAGUGGGGAAUAUUGCACAAUGGGCGGAAGCCUGAUGCAGCAACGCCGCGUGCGGGAUGACGGCCUGCGGGUUGUAAACCGCUUUCGCCUGUGACGAAGCGUGAGUGACGGUAAUGGGUAAAGAAGCACCGGCUAACUACGUG
rnacentral:rRNA from 1 species